rnacentral:rRNA from 1 species
UACGAAGGGGGCUAGCGUUGUUCGGAAUCACUGGGCGUAAAGGGUGCGUAGGCCGCACGGAAAGUCAGAGGUGAAAUCCCGGAGCUCAACUUCGGAAUUGCCUCCGAUACUCCCGUGCUUGAGGACUGGAGAGGAGUCUGGAAUUCACAGUGGAGCAGUGAAAUGCGUAGAUAUUGUGAGGAACACUAGUGGCGAAGGCGAGACUCUGGACAGUUCCUGACGCUGAGGCACGAAGGCCAGGGGAGCAAACGGG